UUCGUAUGAUGUUACCUUUAUAUAUUUGCUACUUCAGAGGGCCAUCAACCCAAUGAGACAACAUUUUCCACCAAGAUCUCUGACGAU
rfam:Laccaria amethystina LaAM-08-1 unplaced genomic scaffold K443scaffold_4, whole genome shotgun sequence.